UUGUCAAAUUUUCGUCACCGCAGGUUUUAACUUAUUUUGGAAAAUAUUUUUGUAGAAGUAGUUAAAGUACAGAAAUAAAUAAAAAAAAAACUUUGAUAACCAAAAUGGGUUACCCAAUGGUUAACCAAUGGGUAACCUCAGAACCACCAUAUAAAUUCUUGAGUUCGUGUUUCGUAAAAAUAAUUUUUUUUAAAUUUAUUUGGUUAUAACACUAAUUAGCAUUUCAAACUAUUUAAAUUAACUCGUAUUGAGCACUUAUUUUAGCUCAGCAUUAUCGCGCGCGCGUUUCUUUGUUACACUCGUCGGCCGCGCGUGUGGCGCCACUGUCGGCAGCAGCACCAGCUGCUGCCGGCUGCCUCUGGCUCAGUGACUGUAAACAAACAUGACGGUUGAGACGCGCUGAUUGCAUCAUCAAUGUCAGCAGAGUAUUUCGCCGUGUUUUCGGUUGCAUUAUGGCAAAUCGAACACAUCAACGGGUUCUUGGACGGAUUGUGGAUGUUCCUGAUGUUCCGAAAGGCUUGCACCGCGUCCCGCCCUGAUGAUGUCCUCUGAUUGGGAAUAGCUGCCUGAACGCGAUGGCCAUCCGGAUGACAAGCCUGGAAAACUUGACAAAACUCCGGCCGCAGUAUCCGCAGGGUUUGUCUGCUGUUUUGUUUCCAUUUUCGGCUGUCAUGAAAUGGAUGGGACCAUGGACCCCAAAGAUGAAAAGCAACGGCCAUGUUUGACAGGAUAAGUGCUUUUGGACGCUGGAAGACAGGAGUAGGGAUAUUGAGUGGUUUUCUUUGUAUGUUUUAUGGCAUUUCUUGUGUUUAAAUCUUUAAAAUCAAUUUUAACAAGGCUCAAAUUUUCUGCUCAUAUAGCAUACAUUGACUUAACAAAUGUUUGCAACAACUGAAUGAAAUUCCAAUAACUAUUUUUAUGAUUUAGUUUGUGUUUGCGGCAUAUUUUAAGUUUAGGUUUGCAUUCUCUAGAUGAAUAUUUCUAGAUUUCCCUGACAACUAAUUGUGGACACAACUAAUUUUUUUAAUUUAAUACUCUGAUAAUGAUCUCAUAAGUUUAAAAAUAACAAUUGCUAAAGCCUUAAAUGUUUCAAUUCAAUAACAAUAGAUGGUGCCACUGGUAUACUUCUGAUUUUAAUUCCCUCUCAUUGUGUUUUUUUUUUUUAUUAAAUACUGCUGCUGUGCCUUCUGGACUAAAAAUAAUUCAUUUUAAUGUGCUCAAAACCAAAAUCAGUUACGCCAAUCACCCUAGAAACAUCAGCACAUUGAAAACAAAUGUAAUUACACUUCGAUGACGAUUAGCUUAACUGUUUUGUUGUCCAGCACAUCAAAUAUAAUUAUUUUAAGGGUUGAAUGUUGAAUGCACAGCAGCAGAGGACCGUGGAAUCUUAUUAAAAUCAAGAGUAACAGCUGCUGGCAUACAAGGGGAAUUCCCAACUGCUGGUAAACUCGUACAAUUUUUAGAAUCAGCCAACAUUAUCCGCUCUAUUACUGCAUCACCUCAAAAAUUAAUGUGCUAUUAUGGUUGUAACUCUAUAAAGUCUUAUUAAUUUGUAAUUGUGCUGUUUUCUGCAGUCUAUUGUACGCUUUUUUGGUGUUGAAAUUGAAAUAUUGUUGUUUACAUUUAUAAAUUUAUUUCUUUAAUUGUAAUUGCUUAUUCUGUUAUUGAAAUGUGGAAUGUAACUUAACUGCAUUAGGUAUAACCUUCGAAUUUUCACGGCCAAACCUAGUUUUCAAUUGUGAACGACUUUUAAUUCGCAGGUCGAAGGUCAUGGUCACCUUUCUUUUUUGAAAAUUCAAUAUUAAGGGAUGAUAGCCCUCUCAGAUUUUUUGGGGUUUGCCCGUGAAAAUCUGCACAAGCACACCAAGUUUUAGAGGUGCCAAAAUAGUUUGCUGUAAUUUGAAAAUGAAAGUUGAAAUACGGCUCGAUGCCGCUCGAUCGAGCAUGGCCUUCGGUCAGCGAGUUCGCCUAUCAUUCGGCGAUGAUGUUUUAAUCCAUUCCAUUUGAUAAGGCACGACAAGAGGACCAAGGAUAGACACAGUUAGGUCAUAAUCAACCUUCAGGGUCUGAACCUGACGAGACCCUGAGAUAAUAAUUUCGAAAAUGUCCAAUUUCUGAAUCAUGGUGUCUUUUUAUAGGUUUUGGCCUCUGUACAGCUCAAAAAUACUGCCUAAACUGCCGAAUGACAAUCCUGAAACCAAUUCUUGAAAUAAUUGUGGAAGCCAUUAAUCCUGACGUGAUGUUUAAAAGUGUUAAAAUUUGAAAUCGGCAGUUUUGACUUUAUAUUUGAUCUGUAGACCGGUGAUAACCUACGGAAAGACACCAAGCUUGAUGAAAUUUGAUAUUUUAAAAAAAAUUAUCUCAGGGUCACGUCAGGUAAAGACCCUGAAGGUCGGUAUCGACCUUAGAAUGUCUACCCUGGGCCCUCUUGAUGUGUCUAACAAAAUGGAAUGGGUAAAAAUAUUUUCGACGAAUGAUUGGCGAACUCGCCGACUAAAGGCCGUGCUCGAUCGAGCGGCAUCGAGCCGGAUUUUAAUUUUCAAAUUCAAAUUACAGCAAAACUACUGUUGCACCUUUGAAACUUGGUGAGCUUGUGUAGAAUUUCAAGGGCUACAAUUCAGCCCUGAACCCCAAAAAGAUCUAAGGGUUGUAUCAUCCCUUAAUUUUGAAUUUUUGAGUAAAGGUUGCAAAAGGUGACCUUGACCUUUGCCCUGCGAAUUUUUUGUAGGUUGAAAAGUUGUUCAUGGUGGAAAACUAGGAUAGAAAAUGAAAAUUUCAAGGUGAUAACUUAACCCAGUAAAGAGUUACAGUCCACCCUUCAUUCACAUAAUUUGAUUUUCAGGGAUUUUUAAAAAUAGGGAUCUUCAAAUUUGAUGAAAAAAAUGUAUUAUUUAAUUGUACUUUAAUUGUUGUAUGAAUAUCAUCCAAUAAAAGUGCUGCCCAUCUAGCUGCCCACUGAGGGUAACCCCAAGCGGGCACCCAAUGGUUACCUUUUGGCUACCUCUUACCUAGGGCUGUCAUUUUGCGCUACAAAUUUAUCUUUUUUAACGAACAGAGUCAAUCGACCUGCCACCUGACAGCCCUAGAUAAAAGGUAGCCAAAAGGUAACCAUUGGCUGCCCACUGGUGGUAACCUCAGCCGGGCACCCGAUGGUUAGCUUUUGGUCAAC